UCAGCUUGUUGGUGGGGUAAUGGCCUACCAAGGCGACGACGGGUAGCCGACCUGAGAGGGUGACCGGCCACACUGGGACUGAGACACGGCCCAGACUCCUACGGGAGGCAGCAGUGGGGAAUAUUGCACAAUGGGCGAAAGCCUGAUGCAGCGACGCCGCGUGAGGGAUGAAGGCCUUCGGGUUGUAAACCUCUUUCAGCAGGGACGAAGCGCAAGUGACGGUACCUGCAGAAGAAGCACCGGCUAACUACGUGCCAGCAGCCGCGGUAAUACGUAGGGUGCGAGCGUUGUCCGGAAUUACUGGGCGUAAAGAGUUCGUAGGCGGUUUGUCGCGUCGUUUGUGAAAACCCGGGGCUCAACUUCGGGCUUGCAGGCGAUACGGGCAGACUUGAGUGUUUCAGGGGAGACUGGAAUUCCUGGUGUAGCGGUGAAAUGCGCAGAUAUCAGGAGGAAC
rnacentral:rRNA from 1 species